rnacentral:rRNA from 1 species
CAGUCGAACGGAAGGCCCUUCGGGGUGCUCGAGUGGCGAACGGGUGAGUAACACGUGGGUGAUCUGCCCUGCACUUUGGGAUAAGCCUGGGAAACUGGGUCUAAUACCGGAUAGGACCAUGCUCUUCAUGGGGUGUGGUGGAAAGCUUUUGCGGUGUGGGAUGGGCCCGCGGCCUAUCAGCUUGUUGGUGGGGUAAUGGCCUACCAAGGCGACGACGGGUAGCCGGCCUGAGAGGGUGACCGGCCACACUGGGACUGAGAUACGGCCCAGACUCCUACGGGAGGCAGCAGUGGGGAAUAUUGCACAAUGGGCGCAAGCCUGAUGCAGCGACGCCGCGUGGGGGAUGACGGCCUUCGGGUUGUAAACCUCUUUCAGCACAGACGAAGCGUAAGUGACGGUAUGUGCAGAAGAAGCACCGGCCAACUACGUGCCAGCAGCCGCGGUAAUACGUAGGGUGCGAGCGUUGUCCGGAAUUACUGGGCGUAAAGAGCUCGUAGGUGGUUUGUCGCGUUGUUCGUGAAAACUCACAGCUUAACUGUGGGCGUGCGGGCGAUACGGGCAGACUGGAGUACUGCAGGGGAGACUGGAAUUCCUGGUGUAGCGGUGGAAUGCGCAGAUAUCAGGAGGAACACCGGUGGCGAAGGCGGGUCUCUGGGCAGUAACUGACGCUGAGGAGCGAAAGCGUGGGGAGCGAACAGGAUUAGAUACCCUGGUAGUCCACGCCGUAAACGGUGGGUACUAGGUGUGGGUUUCCUUCCUUGGGAUCCGUGCCGUAGCUAACGCAUUAAGUA